GCCAUUAUGUGGAGUGGACGGAAUUGUGUAGGAAAGACAAGGAAUGGUUUGAAUUUGGGACAGUUGAGAGAGCUUAGCCGACGGGAGACAUGGAAGGGUGCAUAGAAGGGUAGAGGAGAUCCGCUGAAGUACAAGCAAGCCGGCAGCGUGUGUAGGAUUGGUCCUCUCCGCUCUCGACAGUGGAUGUGGUGUGACUAACAGCCUGAGUUCCUGCCUCAACCUCCCUCAAUAACGGACUGUAACCUAGACUUCUAAGACAAACAAGCCCUUGCACAUCCGAUGCCGACGUUUAACAGGAUUAUUUUAUCACCAGUAAGAGAAGAGUGACCUUCCGAUCUAGCUAGAAAAACAAGACUGUAUCCAACAGUCUUGCUUGUGAUGACUAAGGAUUGCCACACAGGAAAGUCAAGUUGCAGGAGUUUGAAACUCACUAGUGCUUGGCUCUCCUACAGCAGACUUUGACCUAAAGGCCUGUGUAUUUGUAUCAUACCGGAAUCUUGACUCGAUCCAAACAGAAGGGUGAACUUAGUACAUGGUUCUUCAAAUCAUGCAUCACUUUUGCAAAUAGCUGACAUGAGUCCACGAAAUAGAAGCAGCCAUGGAAUCAAAUAUUUUCUCCAAGCUCCUACAACAGAGAUGCCAAAGAUUGAUAUAAUUGAACAAAAGACAUCUAGAAACAAAUCCAGACAUAGCUGACAGCGGAUUUCAAAGGGAUCCAGAGUUGACCUUGUGCAGGUUGCUGAGAAGACAACAUCCUUAAGCUCUGGGAGGAGGUAACUGAUAGGUCAGUAAUCUUCAAAUGCUUGUCCUCAGCCUCUCCCAACAAUAAAAACGCUGCUCCACCUUCCCUCCUGUUCUAGUCCUUUAGUCUGUGAAGUACGGCAGCACAAGCAAAGGACCUGAGUUCGGAUCUCCAGAACCCCCAUGGAGCUAGGUGCUGGGCAUGGUGGGGUGGAUCAGCAGGUAAAGGUACUUGCUACAGAGUUGGACCUGACUUUUAUCUCCAGGACUCACAUGGUAGCAGGAGAGAAUCUACUCCUGCAAGUUGUUCUGACUUCCGUUCACAAGCUGUGGCAUGCACUUACACACACACACACAGAGAAGGAAUGAAUGGGUGAAUAAAAAAAAUGAAUAAUGCAAUUUUUUUAAAAAGGGUCAUAGUAGUGCAUACCUGUAAUCCCAACUCUCCUUGGCAAGACAAAGGUGGAGAUGGGAAAAUUCCCAGAAGCUUGUUGGCUUACCCUGGCAUACAUAGCAGUAAACAACAAGAGGCUUGCCUCAAACAAGUUAAGAAAUGACAUCUUGAAUGCACUCAUACAUACAUAUACAUAGUCACAUACAAACACCAUACACACACACACGUACACACACAUUUGGUCAUUCUUCUGCCUCUCCUCCAUGAUGGAAUGGCUUCUAACUCACUGGCCUACCUCUCACACUAUCUUACUCUGUCUGGCCCUCCUCUUCUUUCCCCAGCUCACACACUUGUCCCAGAUCUCCUUGUGUCCCUUUCCUGACUAAAAGUUUGGGAGGUUCCGCUGCUUGUAGAGAAAAAUCCAAGAGUGUAGGCAUAACACAUCAGACCCUCCAUCAAAGCCAGCUCACACUCCCUCCCACCUCUAGUUCCCUGCCCCAUGCACCCCUGCCCGACUUCAGCCACAGUCUGCCACCCAUUUACUUCUGCGUGCCUCCCAGGAUACAAACCCUCCUCUGUCUCAGCCUGCUUCGUUUCUAUUCCUCGUUCAGGAGUCCCCUCGGGCAUCUUUCUCAAACCUCUCCCCAGUCCCACCCAGAACGCCCAGUGUCUCUACUUUAGUGUGCAUAUUUUAAGUAUUCCGUGUUUUACCAUCUCUUCUCAGCCCCUACAGCUCCCAGAGUGUAAGAGCCAGCUCUUCAGUAUCCAUGCUCGCACCUCUGCAUAUCCAAUCUGCCUUGCUGUAAACAACACUCCUCAAGGAAGCUGUGAGGUGGCACAAUGGGUGCUUAAGGUAGCUGCUGGAUGGAGUACUGGGCCUUCUACUACUGCAGCUCAAGUCAGAGAAGCAGAGGCCAGCAGCUUUGAGCACAAAUAUGUCAGUGGCAGGCCCUUAUGUCUGUAUAGCCCGGACACUUCAGAGUCAGAGAACACUCAACGACCCUGACCCGGCCUUUCAAACAGGCCUCAGAAGGUCACUGCUGUUCAUUCUCCACUGAUGUGAGCAAAAGAUGUCACACUCGGCUUGGGAUUGCUGCUACCUUAGCAAAACCUAAGUAUAUAAGUAACAAUAACAUUAUCAAAUGUUUAUUUUAUGUCAACUACUGAACUAGAGCUUUGUGUUUCUCAUUUAUUCUUCUUAAACAUUCUGUAGGCGUACACCACCACUGGCAUUUGGAUUUGCCAGACUGCCUUCCCAGGCCCAGCCAUCGCCUGUGUUUCCUGGGAUACCUCACAGGAUCUGAACUAUGAAAGUCAUCUCUGGGCCUACUUCUGCAGAACCUAACACAGACAAUGAGUUUCAAGGACGAAAGAUCGAGCCCUGCCAGUACCCCAUUCUGGGGCCCACAUUCUCCUCCGCUUCCCAAACUAUGACCUUACCAAGAAGUGCCUGCUGCAGAAAAGACAGUCACCCUCCCUUCUGUACCCAAAAGUGUGCACCCCACCGAGGUCUCUCCACUUCCUUCCUUUAAUGGUUGCAAGCAUGCUUUCAUGCUGUUAUUCCAGGGUCGGGGGUGCCCAUCUUGCUCUAAAUUUUCCACUUAAAAUUAAACACAUGAAAACUUUUUCUGCUUCAAAACUUUCAUAUUUCAUCCGUCUGUUUCCUAACCCUGUGUCAUUACAAAAGUAGAGAAUUCUGACCAUAGUGCUGUAAGCCAUUGGCUUUUAAUCUUACUUUAAUAAACAAAAAUCUUGGAACCAUUUCUACGGUCAAAGCAGCAUCUACAUACACAAAACGUUGAAUUGGCAAACGUGGAUCUUCACUAAUCUUAUCAGUUUGGAAAUGUACAGGGUAAUUACCUUAAUAAGAUCAGGACACUAGGAACAUCUACUCUGCGCUCGAUAAUAAAACACAUUAAUAUUCUCUUCCAGAGUGUUUCAAGACUUUUAACCCAUCUCUAAAAGUGUUUACCUCUGCUCCAGCUGCUUCUCUGUCACCUUCUAUGUCAGACACAGACAAAAGCCCAAGGCAUUGUACAUUAAUUACAUUCAGCAAACAUUACCCAAGGGUCAACAAAUGACUGAAUCCUUUCUCCAGAUAGAUUUCUCUUCCUGCAAGGAUGAGGUUCCAAAAAGCCAAACCAGCUAUCUAAGAGAUUCCACUUAAGCCUGUAGCUCCCGGGAGAUAGCAGAUGCGUGUUCAUCGACAUGACAACCCAAAAGGCUACAAGGAUGUAAGUAGGACGGCCUCAGAGACGGGAGCUUCUCAGAUGGCCCAAAGGACUGCUAUGUAAAAUAAAUAAGGAAAACAAAGUAGUAAUGUUUGCCAUUCACUUUCAUUAAGACACCAACAUACACACACACACACACACACACACACACACACACACACACACACAAAACUACCAUCAGCAACUAUAACAA
rnacentral:sRNA from 1 species